CACCAUCGCUUUUUGGCUUGCAUUGGCACCAGAACUAGCUAUGGCUGGCUGGUCGGCUUGCUCCAUCACCGGGAUUCUGUGUAGCGGUGGUCGUAGCGUUGUUCGCGGUUAUGCCAGUGGUGUAAGUUUGGACUGGAUUAUCUCGUAAAAAGGACUGCGAAGGUUCGGACUCCCUCCGCAACCAGGUAAAAGAUGGGAGUUCCAGCCUUCUUCAGAUGGCUGAGUAGAAAGUAUCCAUCCAUAGUUGCCCACUGCGUUGAGGAAAAGCCACAGAUUGUCGAUGGCGUCAAGAUCCCCGUCGACACGACAAAGCCGAAUCCAAACGAUGUGGAAUUUGACAAUUUGUACCUGGACAUGAACGGCAUUAUACAUCCCUGCUGUCAUCCAGAAAA
rnacentral:lncRNA from 1 species